rnacentral:rRNA from 1 species
AGCAGCCGCGGUAAUUCCAGCUCCAAUAGCGUAUAUUAAAGUUGUUGCAGUUAAAAAGCUCGUAGUUGAACUUCGGGGUUUACCCAUUGGUCAGGCUUAAUUGUCUGUACUGGUGAGAUAAAUCUCUACCUUCUGAGGAACUUUCAUGUCAUUAAUUUGGUGUGAUUGGAAAUCAGGACUGUUACUUUGAAAAAUUAGAGUGUUUAAAGCAGGCUAACGUCUGAACACAUUAGCAUGGAAUAAUGAAAUAGGACGGACUGAUUCUAUUUCGUUGGUUUCUAGGAUCACCGUAAUGAUUAAUAGGGAUAGUUGGGGGCAUUAGUAUUCAAUUGUCAGAGGUGAAAUUCUUGGAUUUAUUGAAGACUAACUACUGCGAAAGCAUUUGCCAAGGAUGUUUUCAUUAAUCAAGAACGAAAGUUAGGGGAUCGAAGACGAUCAGAUACCGUCGUAGUCUUAACCAUAAACUAUGCCGACUAGGGAUCGGACGAAGUUAAUUUUAUAAUGACGCGUUCGGCACCUU